UAUCACAAGUUUGUGAGAUUCCCUGGAGCAGUGAGCUUUAAGGGAGGAUCUGAGUGAAGACAGGGCACCUGAAGCACUGGGAACUUUAAAACGGAACAGUAUGGAAGUAAGCAUGAAGUAGUGGCUGGGAGCACCAAACUAGCAAGGCCCCACUGAAUGAGGCACUGUACAGACUGCAAUACGAAGACAGUUCCUGUGCCAGGGAACUCCCAGUCUAGCCAGACUCAAGAGCUGUACCUCACUUUGGUGCCCCAAAUUUCCUGGUGCCCUAUGCAGCUGCGUACUUUGGGCUUUUCUGCAACUUGCUCCUGCAGAGUUGGUCCUUUCUCUUUUUGUUCGGCCCUCCGCAGCAAAGCCAGAAUCCUUGGCCAUCUGGGUGUUGCAUGGCUCAGAACACUGCGGAUAUUUUCUUCUUGGAUUGUGUUCUACAGUUGCAUAGUCUUAGCAAUAACAACCAUGGAUUUCUUUCCUAUAAGGAACAGCUGGUUUUCAUGAUUUAUUUCUGUCUCUCGGGCCAGUACACCAGAAGAUUCAGACGUCUUCAUCCCCGACAUGGAUCUAAUUCUUACAAACGAAACCGGGGAAUGCUUCAGCAG